rnacentral:rRNA from 1 species
AGCGAACGCUGGCGGCAGGCUUAACACAUGCAAGUCGAGCGGGCACUUUCGGGUGUCAGCGGCGGACGGGUGAGUAACGCGUGGGAACGUGCCCUCUGGUUCGGAAUAACUCAGGGAAACUUGAGCUAAUACCGGAUACGCCCUUUUGGGGAAAGGCUUGCUGCCGGAGGAUCGGCCCGCGUCUGAUUAGCUAGUUGGUGAGGUAACGGCUCACCAAGGCGACGAUCAGUAGCUGGUCUGAGAGGAUGAUCAGCCACAUUGGGACUGAGACACGGCCCAGACUCCUACGGGAGGCAGCAGUGGGGAAUAUUGGACAAUGGGCGCAAGCCUGAUCCAGCCAUGCCGCGUGAGUGAUCAAGGCCUUAGGGUUGUAAAGCUCUUUUAUCCGGGACGAUAAUGACGGUACCGGAGGAAUAAGCCCCGGCUAACUUCGUG